AUAUUAGGGGACGGAGGGAGU
rnacentral:miRNA from 1 species